UAUGAUUUAACAUCUUUCUUAGGUAGGCCUAACUCGUGCAAGUAAAGUCCUAUGGAAAAAAAUUCGUCCGUUUGUCUGUAUCUCUAACCGUUCAGGCGCCAGCGGGGGUUUUUCACGCGGAAAUGACCCCAAAACACUUAAAUGUUUUUCCUCACAUAUUUGAAGGUCUCUGGAGGGGUUACUCGUCAAAAUAAAACCCUGAGGAGAAAAAUUUGUGACUUUUGGGGCCGAAGGCCCAUUUGCGACUCCUCUUUUUGCCCGACUCGGGUGUCAGCGCCGCAGGCCUAGGUAACAGUGUUUCGUGAGAUAUCGCAAAGCCUGUUACGCGAGACGUGGUCUGACGUACAUCUACCUAGUAAUAACAUGGUAGUGAUUUUCAAAUUGGAUGUUCAUAAUUAUGAAUUUACGGAAUAGGAUUGUUGUUUCUCUCUGAAAAGACUUUCGGUAGCUCAUGCAACAAUCGUAAUGGCUGUGUCUUGUGUUGCAGUGCUUUCUUGCCCUUUGUCUUCUUUCUUCAUCUUUUCUUUCUCUUCGUUCGACGGGGGUCGGGCCUACUUGGCAUGCCGGCGGAAAGGUCUCAUGGUAGUACAGGUUGUUCAAACAUAAGCCCUGUACCCAACACGGGCACAUGCCCUACAGCAAAGUCAUUUAAGGUUCCACAACUUUCCGAAAUUUUUGAACUGAAAAAAAAAUUGGAAUAAAAAUUGUUGAUGGUGACAGAAGAAGCUGAGUCAAGGCUUGGUACCAUUACAAGUUCGAUUUCACCAACACAGGCUGUCAGUAUGCAUAGGCAACCUAACAGUGAUAGUGAAAUCAUGGACGCUCGACGCAGCACCAUCACCCCAGUCCAGCUAUUUUCCCGUGGGACAGAGAAGUCUGGGUUAGAUUUCUGGGCAACCCCAACCAAACAGGGAUGUGUACUGCAUAGGCUAGGAAAUCAACCGAACUACUGAACAAGAUGUACAGAACUAUCCUAAUAGUAUCUCAACCCGUGAAAAACGAAACGUAUAUGUGCCAUAUAAUUCCCAUACACGUACCGUAUAUGACCGGAAGAUGCUGUAUAUGUUACAUAUACAGUGCCAUAUAUGUGGACAUAUAUGCUACCAUAUAUGGGCUGCAUUUACUAUAUAUGGGAGAAAUUCGCCGUAUAUGGGGGUAGUCUGCCGUAUAUGGGUCCAUUUUGUGAACAUGUAUGUCAUCAUAUAUGGGUUUGGAGCACGCAUCUAUGUCGGAAAUUCGCCGUAUAUGGGAAGACAUUGUUAGAUAUCAAUAACGUCUAAAAUUGGUAAAUAUCCGUUGACGUUGACGUACGAAAACUCACUUUCAAUACAUAUCGCAAUGAGCACGAAAUUUGGUCGACCGAUCGUAAUGCUUAUAGCCUGAUUUAACUUUAAGCCACAGUAAUUAAUAUAACGACACAUCGAUUGAGAUAGUUCUGAUUUCCGCCGCUAGAUGGCUCUCUAAGAUAAAAAGAACAUUUUACAGUCUUUUCUAACGUAAAAUUACGUCAAGGACAGUUUUGGUCACGAUUUUAACUGUGACCCUCUGAGGAAUGACCUCCCUGAUGCUAUGCACACUUGGAUUUUAACAGACACCAUUCUGUGUCGUGAAUAAACGUAAUUGAAUUUUAUUCUCGCUGCUGAUCAGAAACCGCGGUUUAAUGACACCUAGGCGCCGUUUCCGUCCGUGCGUGAGGUAUACACCACGUGCUUCGUAGCGAAGAUGAAAUUUUUGAAAAGUGUUGAAUCAAGUCCGAUCGGACUUGACGUCGCACUUCAAUGGAGUUCUCACUCCAACUACCCAUACUUGGUGAAAACGAAUCACGAUAGCCCUCCUCGGAGAACACUGUUACUUUUGAGCUUUUUGUUGCUACUUCACGUUCCCCAGCGAAGUACUUUCAUUGACUGCACCCUAAAUGCAUCCACCAAGGUACGCAAACAUUUGUCACCAGGGAACUUAAGGAAAUAUAUGGCACUGACCACACGGCCCAUAUAUGAGACAGAUCAUGAAAUAUAUGUGCCAUACAUGGCGUGGCGUUUAUGGCCAAUAUAUGGCCGUAUAUGGCAAUAUAUGGGAUAUAUAUGCACAAGUUAUAUGUCAAAUAUAUGUUUGAGCGCGUCCGGACAUACAUGGCGCCAUAUACGUGCCGUAUACAAUUUUUUUUUUUCACGGGAAUCUUUUGCAUGAAUUUAAUCCUGACCCCAAUAGUAGGAAUAAACUCACGAAGCAGAUCAUUUGUAAGACUUUUGAGCAGAUGAAAAGUGUACAGCUUUUGGCCUAGGAGGGGGGCAGAAAGUUACUCGUGUUGAAGUUUAAACCAACAUAACCUACAACAGCCGAAAAAACUGGUUGCAUGCAAAAAUGAAAAUACACGACCAAUGAGUGGAUUCAACCGAAAGGAAAUUCGCCAAAUAAGGAGUCUAAAAGAAAACCUAACUUAACAUUAACACUUCGAAGCGCUGAUAGGUUAAACUGCUGUAAAAAGUGGUGGAAUAGAAACGUUACAAAGAGACCUAACCUCGAUUAAUACUAAGAAAGUCAUCUUUUCAAAAUCAGCGGAAUCGAUCACAUGGCUAUUCGCUCACAAACGAGAAGUUUACAACGUGUAAUACACUCACGAAGAAUGUACAGACAACAGAGGCUACCGCCGCCACCGGCUCGAAUAAUCACUUGCAAAAACAGGAAUGAGAUCUUGCAUCUCAUUGUGUCCGAACCACUUUUCAACGGUUGGAUCCAUCACGUACGAAAAAGGUGGCAAACACUUGGAACAAGAUUGAAACGAAGACGACACCGACUUGCUUCUUGCUUGGAUGAAACCAACGAGACCGACGAGCGGGAGAGUGCACUCUUUUCUCCACCUGCCUGCCUGCUCGGUCUGUCUGCCUGACGUUUGCGGCCAGCCAAGCUGGCUGCAACAACAGUGAUCAGCUGAGCUGUUUGAAUCGAAAAACAAAGGAAAUCUCAAUAAUUGUUUGUAGUUAAUAAUUUUGUCGCUCAUCGGUAAAACAAAAUCUGACCGCACCAUGAAAAAUCACUCUACUGGCCAACAGGUGGCGCUAAUUUGGCAGCGAAAAUAAAGUACACCUAGUUGUUUUCCUUCUCCUGUUCCGUGCUGCAACAUAUCAUGUCUCAAACCGUUCCCUGUGAAAUGUCUGGUCAUGACGACUGGGAUCUGUACAGCAACCCCCAGGUAAGACUGCUACUCCCAAACUUCUUUCUGUUCCUCAAAUGUUUAAUUCACACUUGUCAUAUGUGUAAGUAACUCUGUGGGCUAGGGUUUGAAGUAGCAGUAUUUUAUUGGGUAGGGAUAUCUGUAAAAAGUAACUAAUUACAAUACUUCUAUUACAGGAGAUGGAUAAAAUGAGGAAUAGAGCUCAGGAACUUGAAGAGGAACUCGCUCACAGCAACUGGCACAAUGCAGUUUAUCUAGCAGCUCUGGGUUCUGUUGACGGUGGUUUGGAGGCUUCGAAGGAAAUGUUUUGCAAGGCGUCAAAGUUAGUCGAGCCUCUCUGCAAAGAAUGUGAGAAGGACUAUUUACUUCCAAAAUUGAAAGAGAAGGAUGAUAGAAGUAGAAGUUUGCAGCGACAAUUAAGUCCUCCAUCUCCGAUUCUUUGCAACGAUGCAAUAAAGAGGUCUCGUCUCAACUCAUUUCAAGACCAAAGCAAAUGAUAGAUGUAUUUAUAAACAUGUGCUACUAGACAAUAUUUUUCAAAUAACUAUUAUGUUAUUAUUAUAUCUUUUGUGUAUGUAGAGACUAGUCAGAUAAUACUCCAAAAUGAACUGUAUUAAUUGAUGCAUUGUUUUAUUGUGAUUGGUUUUGAUAGCUGAAGGUAAUUAUCAGAGUUCAAACCCAAAGGUUAAUUAAUUUACACGGCCAUACUCUUGUGAAAGUAGAAUUUAGCUGGAAACCUUCAGUAAUUGUUUUUGGUUUACUAUGUGUAAGCUAGACUUUCCAACUUACUUUAAAUAAAGAGGGUAGAGUAAUUAAAAUGUCUUCUGAUUUCUUUUACAUCUCAGUCAGCUUACUCUCAUUUGAGCUGUUACAGUGACAAAUUUUGUCUUUUAUUCUCAAGCGCUGGAUGACUAAGCCGCCCUCAUGUAGGAAGACAUUUAUUGUAAACCAGAUCUUCCCAAACACAUUGGACGAUUAAUGCCGAACAAAAUUUGUGUCUAGAUAAGACUUAUUGCAUGUUAACAGACACUAUCACAGUUAUUAUUAAAUGUUAUAUCAGUAGAUUAAUAGAUAUUUAACAAGAAAAAAAUAGGACAAAACAUGAUCUCAUGUCAUGUAAUGUCAGCAGGUUACAAAUUACUUUAGAAACGACCAAGUUACAAAUAUUAUUAGGCGUUGUUGCAGCCAUACAGAACAGGUGUGGCAAUAAUUCAAGAACAAAAAUAUUCUCUCAGGAAGAAAACAAAUGCACUCUUUCAUUUUUGACAUUUGAUGUACUUGGUUAUAGCUCUACCAAUAAAAAAUGAUAACAAUAAUGCCUCAGCAGUGGAGCAGAUGACUUGUAAAGUGCUUCUGACAUGGACUCACUGUGACAUAUAGAAUGGUUUAUUCUUUAGAAUGUAAAACUGGGUGGAUCUCUGUUAUAGUUUCUACGUAUUAAGUUAAUUAAGUAUGAUGUUUAGUGUGUAUGUAAGAUAUUUGCAGUAGUAUGUCAACACCCUAAACAUUAGAGGGUUGUUUAGAGUAUCCAGUUAGAGUAUAGUAUUAGAAUGAGCACAUUCUAAAAUCAAGAAUAUCGUUUUCUGGGUGUAUGAGUGUCCUGAAAGGACAAACAACUCAUCUGAGUCAGACAACCACAGUUUGUCUGUUCUGCUUCGCAAGAACCGUCCUAGUAUCUGGCAGUGUGUUGAUGCAUUUCGGAGGCUGGAGUAUUUAUCCUGGAUGGACAAGCUUGCUGCUGAACAAGGAAACCCUGUGAAUCAGGAAAGAAAAUGGUCAGCUGUCCUCAAUGAUAGGAGAGUGGCUAACCUAUCAUUGAUGCUUGAGCGUCAAGAAAUUUCUUCAUGUCGGUUCCUGCACCAAGCUUC